rnacentral:rRNA from 1 species
AACAAGCGCUGGCGGCGUGCCUAACACAUGCAAGUCGUACGAGAAAGGGUCCUUCGGGGCCUGAGUAAAGUGGCGCACGGGUGAGUAACGCGUGGAUAAUCUGCCCUUCAGUUGGGAAUAACUCAUCGAAAGGUGGGCUAAUACCGAAUAAUGCUGUGAGACCUCGGUUGAUCAGCCAAAGAGAGCCUCUGCUUGCAAGCCCUCGCUGAAGGAUGAGUCCGCGUACCAUUAGCUAGUUGGUAGGGUAAUGGCCUACCAAGGCGACGAUGGUUGGCUGGACGGGGAGGAUGAUCAGCCACACUGGAACUGGGACAAGGUCCAGACUCCUACGGGAGGCAGCAGUGAGGAAUCGUGCGCAAUGGGGGCAAACCUGACGCAGCAACGCCGCGUGAGUGAGGAAGGGCUUCGGAUCGUAAAGCUCUGUCGGAUGGAAAGAACCGCAUAGGGGUAAACAGCCCCUGUGUCUGACGGUACCAUCAAAGGAAGCACCGGCUAACUCCGUGCCAGCCGCCGCAGUAAUAC